rnacentral:rRNA from 1 species
UGUCCUACGGGGGGCAGCAGUAGGGAGUCUUCCACAAUGGACGAAAGUCUGAUGGAGCAACGCCGCGUGAGUGAAGAAGGGUUUCGGCUCGUAAAGCUCUGUUGGUAGGGAAGAAAGAUAGAGGGAGUAACUGGCCUUUAUUUGACGGUAAUUACUUAGAAAGUCACGGCUAACCACGUGCCAGCAGCCGCGGUAAUACGUAGGUGGCAAGCGUUGUCCGGGUUUAUUGGGCGUAAA